rnacentral:misc_RNA from 1 species
GAUGAAGAACGUAGCGAAAUGCGAUACUUGGUGUGAAUUGCAGAAUCCCGUGAACCAUCGAGUCUUUGAACGCAAGUUGCGCCUCAAGCCAUUAGGUUGAGGGCACGUCUGCCUGGGCGUCACAUAUCGUUGCCUGAUGCCAGUUUCCUCGUGAUGGGUGACUGUGCAGGGCGAAUGAUGGCUUCCCGUGAGCAUUGUUGCCUCAUGGUUGGUUGAAAAUUGAGUCCUUGGUAGGGAGCGCCGUGAUAGAUGGUGGUUGAGUGACGAACGAGACCCAAUCAUGUGAGACCCCUACCGAAUUUGGCCUUCAUGACCCACAUGCGUCUUUGGAACGCUCAUGACGAGACCUCAGGUCAGGCGGGGCUACCCGCUGAGUUUAAGCAUAUCACUAAGCGGAGGA